rnacentral:rRNA from 1 species
UACGGGGGGAGCAAGCGUUGUUCGGAUUCAUUGGGCGUAAAGGGUGCGUAGGUGGCGCCGUAAGUCGGGUGUGAAAUUUCGGAGCUUAACUCCGAAACUGCACUCGAUACUGCGGUGCUUGAGGACUGGAGAGGAGACUGGAAUUCAUGGUGUAGCAGUGAAAUGCGUAGAGAUCAUGAGGAAGACCAGUGGCGAAGGCGGGUCUCUGGACAGUUCCUGACACUGAGGCACGAAGGCCAGGGGAGCAAACGGG